GUUGAAUUGAAUUUUAGAGAAUUCUCUCUAUCUUUUGGGCAUUUUUUCUUUGUAUUCCUCCUGUGAUAUAUCUAUUAUAGCUAGCUUGCAGGAUAAUCGUUGUUAAGCCCGACAUCUGUAACCUAAUUGUUAUCGCACCAUUAAUUGUGUUCUCCAAAACUUCAUCUAAUUCAAAAAAAUUCUUAUGAAAAACGAUCAUCAGAAGAAUGUGGAAGAUGAUUUGAAUGUAUUUCUCAUAAUUCGAUAAGAAUCAAUUCCUCUCCUAUUAUACAUUAUAUGUUAUACGAAUUCGAUGACUGCUCCAUUUUCCGAAAUUGGGGAUUUAAGAUUGUUCUCAAGAAAUUCAUAUUGAACACCAUUUUUUUUCCCUAUCUCUUGAGAUUAUUUCUGGCGUCUUCCUCCAAUUAAGGUUUCUUUUAUGAGCUUUUGGGGGCGUUAAAAUGAAUUCACGUUACAAUUACGGCUUAAUUCAAGAUUUUUUUCAACUACUUUCCUUUUCCUUUCACAUCAGUUUUAAGUGAAUAAACGAAGGAUGAGACAAGCAGACGGAGUUGAGCCGGUGGCCUUAGAAACCUAAUUGCAGAAUGCCCGUUCAGUUUUCUGGCCGAUGUGGUGAGAUGAUAUGUUGAUAGUGGGACAAGAUGUUAAGCUUAUUCGCAGUUUGAAGGUAGAUUUGUUCAAGUCAUUUGACAUAAAGGAUCUUGGAAUUUGGGGAUGCAUAUUCAUCGUAAUAGAAAAGCUGAAAAGUUAUGAUUACCACAGGAGAAAUAUGUAGAAAGAGUCUUGAUAAGGUUUAACAUGAAGAAUGCAAGACCAGUUGGGACAACACUUGGUAGUCACUUCAAAUUGAGUAAGUGCUUGUCUGGGAACGAUUGUGGUGGGAAAAAAUUUGAUUUUGAUGUCAAGUCACGGCCCCCACCAUGUUUAAAUUAAAUUUGCAUCCUUGCCAGCUUCAUUAUAGUGGAAAACUUCAACAACCCCGAAAAGUAAAAGUCACCACUAUUGCAUCUGGAAUGAAUGAAAACAAGGGCAAACUUGGUAAUUGAUCAACGAUGAAUUAUGGACUCUGCAAUUGUGUGAAAAGGAGUCUGGUUUUUGUUGGAAUAACGAAUUUAUACUUGACUACCAACGGUCAGAUUUUUCCUAUUAUUUUAAAUUUAAUUGUUCCCAAACAUGGGCUAAGCUUAUUUGUCCUUCUAAGAAGGCAGAUAAAUAAAGAAUGAUGUUAAUUCCCUACUC